UACGUAGGGUGCAAGCGUUACUCGGAAUUACUGGGCGUAAAGCGUGCGCAGGCGGUUAUGUAAGACAGGUGUGAAAUGCCCGGGCUUAACCUGGGAACUGCAUUUGUGACUGCAUGGCUAGAGUUUGGCAGAGGGGGGUAGAAUUCCACGUGUAGCAGUGAAAUGCGUAGAUAUGUGGAAGAACACCGAUGGCGAAGGCAGCCCCCUGGGUCAAGACUGACGCUCAUGCACGAAAGCGUGGGGAGCAAACAGG
rnacentral:rRNA from 1 species